CUCGGUCGGUCGCGGUGGUUCUCUCCGGCGUCUUACUCACAUCCAUAUUCUCUCUCCACGCACGCUCUCUCUCUCACCGCCAACUAAAUCUCACAGCCUCACCCCCUCCCUCGAUUUCCACGUGAUUUAUAUUUGGAAAUGGAUGCCCGCCGUUAAAUGAUCCUCGUUGAUCAAUUCUCGAAGAAGCAGCUCCAUUCACCUACGCCGUCGGAUCAGAAAGCUGCGGAAAUUUCCGAUCUGGAAUCGAAUCCGUUGAGCGUGAAAAUUAAAGUAAGUGAUUUUCUGAAACUUUGUCAGUGAAAAUCCGAUUUUUUUAUUUUUAUAAUUUCUAAAUGAUUUGUUGAUUGUGCAAGUGUGUAUCUGCUUGCUGAUCUUAUAUAUGUUUUGCUGUGAUCUGAAAUUAAUUUCAUGAAUUAAUUGGGGAAUUUUGUGCUACGAUGUGUGCAUAUAGUAUUCACGAUCCAGAUCUGAUGUAUUUUUGCCCAUGUUCUGAAUGAAUUAUUGGAUUUAUCAGUUAUCUGCUGCUGCCUUAAAUUAAUGUCGGUUUAGGUUACGAUCAAUUUAGUAAGCUGCACAUCAAUUUAGUUAAGGUGCACGUUGUUCUUCGGGCAGCGAACUUUUAAACAGAAAAAAUCGAGAGCAACUUUUUUUAUCAUAAUGACGAGCAAUCGGUUUUAGUCGAAAGACUCGACACCAAAUAAAUAUUUGUUACGAUUGGAGAUGGCCUAGGCGGCACUUCGAUCAACCUGCUUUAGCAAAGAAAAAACACAGAGAAUGCAUAUAUAUCUGUAUAAAUAUUAUUGUGUGAAUUGUAUACACUCACUGUGUGUGUUUCGAUGUUUGUUUACUGAAUCAAUUUUUAUAAUUCUUGUAACUUUAUUAUUUUUUCCCUUUUUAAAUAAAUAUAAAUUAAGUAGCCAAGAAAUUCUUGAACCACUUGACAGAAUCCUUUGCGUAUCUCUUGAGCUUGUCAUUGUAGUCGACAUAGUAAAGUCCAAAUCGUGAACUGUAUCCAGCUCCCCAUUCCCAGUUAUCCAUUAAAGACCAUGCAAAAUAGCCUCUCACGUUGCAACCAUCUUCUCUGUGAAAAAAGAAAUGAAAAAACGAAUCAUCGAGUUAAAAAAAAUAAGCAUAAAAUAGAAGUUAAUUUUUGUAGAGUAUCGGAAAGUUGAAAUGAAAACUAUGCUAAAACUAAUUACUUGAUAGCAGCUAAGAGGUUAGUCAGAUAGUCGUUGUGAUAUUUAAUCCGCUUCUCGUCUUUUAGAGCAUCUUUAAUUGACGUAAACGGGCUGUUUCCAUCGUCCAUUCCUGUUCGUAAAUAAAAAAAAGACGAUGUUUAUGGUAAUGAAUAUGAAUCAGAUGAUGAUAAAGUUUCGGAGAAUGUUUUAAUUUGAUCUUUUUACCGUUUUCAGUGAUAAGUAUGAGAGGGUUCCCGUACUUCUGCUUAAUGUAGUUCAUCAAACUUCGUAUCCCAUGUGGCACAAUGUAUAACCACACAGAACUUGCCUGCAAAUUUUUAAAUGUAAUAAUUUUAUUUAUCAGCCUAAAUUUUCUAAUAUUAGUGAGGGACAUUGUGUAAGAGUAUAGUAAUUAAUAAACAUGUGCUUCUGCCUGCAUGCAUAUAUACCUUGUCAAAUAUAGGCUUUCCGAUUACAAUUGCUGCAAGAUAAACGAAACACCGAUAAGUAACGAGACGAUUUAAUUGCUACUAAUUUAUAUAAAAAAAAUGAGAUGAAAGAAAAAAUAUUUUCAGACAUGAGAAUUUGGUUAGGACACAUACGAAGGGUUAAGGCACCAGAGUCUGAAACUGUGUCGUUGAACAGAACACCCAUUAUGUUAGUGCUGUUUUCUCUUGCAUACCAAGUUGUGUAGUGAUUUAUUCCUAUGAAAUCGAAGGCACCCUUUAGCUGAGACGACUGUGCCUGAGAAAAUCUUGGCAAUCGGUUUUCGACUCUUGUUCUCAUUGACUUUGGAUAGUCACCGAGAAUUAAGGGUUCUAGAAACCUGGUUCAUCAAGUAAGAAAGAAUAGAUCUAAAUAUGUAAAAUCACUAGUUCACAAUUAUUGUUCUUUUAAAAAAAAAAAAAGAAAAAAAAAACUUACCAACCCAAGUGAAAAUCGAUUGCUCUUUGUGUUGCUUGCAUAUCAGCGUACGAAUUUGAUGCGGGUUCGUACCAGAAAGAAUCCAAGGAUAUCCCGAUCGCUCCAUGUUGUUUUCGCUGCAAUAAAACAAGAAUUACCAAUAGUAAAUAGUUGCUUUAGUUUUAGUUAUUAUAUAUUAUUAUGAUUUAAUUAUGCACUUGAUUAAUUACCUGAUAUUUUUUCUUGUAAAUAUCAACAACAGUUGCAUGCGAAAGAAGCACAUUGUGCGCAACUAUAUAAGGCUCGGUAGCCGAAUUUCCGGCCCCACAAAAAGCAUGGAGAAGGAUAGAGCAUCGACCCGG
rnacentral:lncRNA from 1 species